rnacentral:piRNA from 1 species
UGGAAAUUUGAGCAGGUGCUCUCCAAA